rnacentral:rRNA from 1 species
CUGAAUCUCAGAUCAGGCGAGAUCACCCGCUGAAUUUAAGCAUAUCAAUAAGCGGAGGAAAAGAAACUAACAAGGAUUCCCCCAGUAACGGCGAGCGAAGCGGGAACAGCUCGAGCCUGAAAUCCCUGGCAGGUGCUGCCAGAGAAUUGUGGCCGGGAGAGGCGGCGUUGCCCCUACUGUCGCUGUCGAAGUUGACCUGGAAAGGCACGUCGGAGAGGGUGAGAGCCCCGUGCGCGACACCGACGGGAAGGGCCGCUUCCGUCUUCUGAGAGUCGGGUUGUUUGGGAAUGCAGCCCAAAGUGGGUGGUAAACUCCAUCUAAAGCUAAAUACCGGCACGAGACCGAUAGCGAACAAGUACCAUGAGGGAAAGGUGAAAAGUACUUUGAAAAGAGAGUCAAAAAGACCGCGAAACCGUUAGGAGGGAAACGAAUGCAGCUGAAGUGGCUCCGUAUCAGGUUCAGGGGACGUCGGAGGUCGAUCUGGGUCACGACGAAGUCGAGCCCGGAGCGGCGGUCGACAACUCUGCACUCCUGUUGGGAGCCGGCCAACAGCAGUUGUUUCCGGCCCAGAAGGUCGGUCGGGAGGUGCCCCUGCACUCGUGCAGGGAGCGUAUAGCCGUUCGUCCGGUGGUCUGGGAGCGACUGAGGAGAGCCGUGAAUUUUCACGCGUGCAGCGCAGGCCCCUCGGGGCCGGGCCACCUCUGUCCGUUUGGGUCCCGCGGUGGGGACUGCGUGCAGUGUCCGCUGACGGUUCGCCUGCUCGGUCGGGGGGUCGGCCACGCCUUGCGCUCUGGCUGUUGGUGCUCAAAUGGCUGCAUCCGA